UUAGUGGCGGACGGGUGAGUAACGCGUGAGAAUCUACCCUCAGGAGGGGGAUAACAGCUGGAAACGGCUGCUAAUACCCCAUAUGCCGCGAGGUGAAAUGAAUUUCGCCUGAGGAUGAGCUCGCGUCUGAUUAGCUAGUUGGUGUAGGUAAUGGCUCACCAAGGCAUCGAUCUUUAGCUGGUCUGAGAGGACGAUCAGCCACAUUGGGACUGAGACACGGCCCAGACUCCUACGGGAGGCAGCAGUGGGGAAUAUUGGACAAUGGGCGCAAGCCUGAUCCAGCCAUACCGCGUGUGUGAAGAAGGCCUUCGGGUUGUAAAGCACUUUAAGCAGGGAGAAAAAGUUAUAAGUUAAUACCUUAUAACCCUGAUGUUACCUGCAGAAUAAGCACCGGCUAGUUCCGUGCCAGCAGCCGCGGUAAUACGGAAGGUGCAAGCGUUAAUCGGAAUUACUGGGCGUAAAGCGCGCGUAGGUGGUUUGUUAAGUUGGAUGUGAAAGCCCUGGGCUCAACCUAGGAACUGCAUCCAAAACUAACUCACUAGAGUACGAUAGAGGGAGGUAGAAUUCAUAGUGUAGCGGUGGAAUGCGUAGAUAUUAUGAAGAAUACCAGUGGCGAAGGCGGCCUCCUGGAUCUGUACUGACACUGAGGUGCGAAAGCGUGGGUAGCGAACAGGAUUAGAUACCCUGGUAGUCCACGCCGUAAACGAUGACAACUAGCUGUUGGGAGACUAUGUCUUUCAGUGGCGCAGCUAACGCUUUAAGUGUCCGCUG
rnacentral:rRNA from 1 species